AAAGGGGUAUCCUGGCAUUGGGGGGUCUCUUCACCGAUCAACUUCAGGAGAAGUUUGGUGGUAGUAGUCCCGAGUUGAAUCAAACGCGCCUCAGCCGUGACGCGUGUGCGCUGACCAACACGUCAGCAGACCGCGGGACGGUAGUGAACCCUCGACACGGGCACAGGUCGGCUCCGCGUCUCGCACUUACGCGUUGCAGCUCCUUGAGGAACAGCACGUAGACGUGACCCAGCUCCACCGCAGCCCGAGACACCGGCCCGCUGUCCAUGGCGGCGUUGGAAAAACAACAGCGUACAAAGCGCAAAAGCUACGCCCGACGAGUGACGACGAUACGCGGCGUUGACCGACUGCUAGCUAGCAUGCUAGCACGUUAGCCGCGCACGGCACCGUUGGGCAAACAGUGGAAGGGACAUACAAAAUACAAACGCGUCUUUCUUUACAACGUGUGGCAGUCGACACGGGUUAUAGAAGAAUAAAAAUAAAGUAAAAAAACAAACAAAACGUCGAGUCCCAUUCACGACCAGGAACAACGACCACAAACAGCUGACGAGCUCGAGACGUUCGCUGAGCUGGAGGCGUCAAUACUACGGACGACGAGGAGCUGUCGGUUGUGCCAGCAGCCCGCUCUCACUACCGGCUGUGAUCGACUCUGUGGUGGGUUGAACUUCAACCUACAGUCAACAAGACGGGGGGAGGCCCGUGGUGCGUUCAGGAAACAUCGGACACACCAUGCAUCCCCGAUAAAAAAACUUAAAAACCUAACCAAUUUGAAAUCUUGCUUUUUAAUGUACGUCACAUGUGCUCUUUACUGCUUGAAGGGCAAUAGACGUGGCCGUUUUAUCUUGUAGGCUUAUAAUUCAUUAUUUUUGAUAAUUUCUACUGAAUGUAAUUGCGUUCACAUCCCUUGACAAACAAGAAUGUUUGAUGGCCUGUGGUAGUUCACAGCCUGGUGGAUGGGAACCACUAGAUUAGGUGCUGGUUGAGGUUAUGUGUCAUUAAAACUUUUGUGGAUGGAAAUAUUGAAUAUAAUUAACUCAACAAGGAGACAAACCUAGUGUAUACAUUGUUUGGUGUAAACUUACCACAGUGGUCCACUCCAGAACUUUACUCUUGGUGAAAGAAAGGAUGCAGCCCAUGUAAACAACUCCAGUUGAGAAUAAUCCCACUUCUACUUCGUGACUUUCAGACGCUGGUUCCAUUGACUCCAAAGAUCCUGAAGGAACAAAAAUGAUCCAUUUCUUAAUUUGUUCACGUUGGACAAUGAGAAAAGUCUCAUUUAAGGUUAAUCAUCUCAUGCAUUGAAAAGGAUUCUUCCAAAACAAGGUAAAGCUAAGACAGAAAAAACAAGACUCGUCUAGCAGUGAGGAUUCCUGAAUAGAAAUGUCUGAUUGAAGGUGAAGGUUUGGCAAAAUCUGAACAAUUGUUUGACAAAAAAGAAAAAGAUUCUCCACUCAUGCUAUGUACAUUACCAACCUGAGGGCAAGUGCUCCACCUCAACACCAAGGCCCAUGUCUAAAGGAUUUUCCAGAGUGGCUUGUGGGACCUUCUGUAUCUCAUCCGAUGCGGUGAAUCCCGGCUGAUCGUCUUUGUUUUUAUUAAAGUGUCCGCCAUCCUCCUCCACGCUGACAUCUGGUCCCGUGUGCACUUCAUCCAAAACCAUCUGCUCCACUUCAGUCUCUGCUGGCCCUUCCUCGUGAACUGUCACUGUGAUGUUGUCUUCACUCUUUGUCCCGGGGUCGCUGUCAACCUUGUCCUCUUUGACAAUGUGGGACGUUUCUUCUGUAACAUUCAAUUCAUGUUCAUCUAGAGUGCAGAGAUUGAAAAAAAAAAAAAAACACAACAGAAGCA